rnacentral:rRNA from 1 species
GACGAACGCUGGCGGCGUGCUUAACACAUGCAAGUCGAGCGGAGCGGCGAACGGGUGAGUAACGCGUGAGUAACUGCCCCCCUCCCUGGGAUAACAGUUGGACACGGCUGCUAAUACCGGAAAGUGGGGGGUGACUCGCGUCCUAUCAGCUUGUUGGUGGGGUAGUGGCCUACCAAGGCGACGACGGGACGCCGGCCUGGGAGGGCGACCGGCCACAGUGGGCUGGGGUACGGGCAAAACGGCUACGGGAGGAAGCAGUGGGGAAUAUGGCACAAUGGGGGAAACGCUGAUGCAGCAACGCCGCGUGCGGGAUGACGGCCUUCGGGUUGUAAACCGCUUUCAGCGAUGACGCGGUAGUGGCAGAAGAAGCACCGGCUAACUACGUGCCAGCCGCCGCGGUAAUAC